rnacentral:tRNA from 1 species
GCAUUGGUGGUUUGGUGGCAGAAUUCUCGUUUCCCGUGUGGGAGACCCAGGUUCAAUUCCUGGCCAGUGCA